rnacentral:rRNA from 1 species
UACGUAGGGGGCUAGCGUUGUCCGGAAUCAUUGGGCGUAAAGCGCGCGCAGGCGGCCUUUUAAGUCUGAUGUGAAAUCUUGCGGCUCAACCGCAAGCGGCCAUUGGAAACUGGGAGGCUUGAGUACAGAAGAGGAGAGUGGAAUUCCACGUGUAGCGGUGAAAUGCGUAGAUAUGUGGAGGAACACCAGUGGCGAAGGCGACUCACUGGCCCGAUACUGACGCUGAGGCACGAAAGCGUGGGGAGCAAACAGG